CCCCCCCCCCCCCGCGACAUCUGUGAGGAGGGAGCCUCAGAAUCUGCUUUAAGCCAUCUUCCCUGGAGAACGGGUAUCCUUGAGAUGACUCCCCAGCUGCUAGACAGCAAGUAUGCACUGCUGCUCAGCCAGCGAGCAGGCCAGACAAAUGGCUUUCCAAGCUGUGUAGUGCAAGUCUCAAAUAGAGGAAAGUAUCAGUAAGGCAUGUACACAGAGUCAAAAGAUUUACAAAGCAGGAAAACAAAUGGAGUCAUACGAGUUGUUCAUACUGGGUCACCUCCCUGCUUUGAAAAGUCACUGAAGGUUCCAGAUGAGCAGCCCUAGAGACCUAAUAUGCCUGAAGAUAAAACAGGAAUGAAAUGAAAACGAUAUUACAAGUUCCCCAAUGCAGGCCGUAGCCAAGGCUGGCAGGAGUGACUCCGGGGACCAGCCUGUCCUGCGAGCACCGUGCUGCUCCAGGGAGCCAACAACAGCUGGUGGGACCCAUCCACUCAUUGUGCACCAGCCCCUGACCACAGCGGCAGGAAUCCAGCCCUCAGGGCUCAAACUGGCACCAGCCCACCGAUGCUACUCACCGCAUGUAAGGAACCCCGACUCACUCAAGAAUUGCUGCUGAAAAUGACUGGACCACUCACCUGACGGAACAGUACGCGAUGGGCAUGGGUUUCCAGAACAGAAGUUCUGCUUUGCUAGAACUUUAGUAAAGCACCAAGUGACCUUCCUUACAGGGCAGACAGCCCUGCAGAAGCCAAAGGCACACUCGGGCUCCACUCGAGCAUUUUGAGCAGCCACACGGAGAGAUCUUCGCAAAGCAAAAGCCUUUCACAAGUCCCCGCACCGAGUGGAAAAUUCACUUGCAGAAGCACUUCAGCAAGCUAAGAUUUACAGAAACCAAUUUAUAUCUGAGGAAUUAGAUCUUCAUGCAUCCAGAAUGAAAAAGGAAACUGGAGCUGAAAUCAAAUUGAUCGACUUCCAUGGAAACAGAUGUUGUAUGGGGAAAAAAGUUGAAAUGCCCAGACCCCUGUAGAAACAACCUCUCAUCAGUUUACGUCUGAGCAAUACUUACACCUAGAGUCUCGUUCCUUGGCUUUGUAAUGUGCAAUGACAUCUGCGUUUGGGGACGGUUACUUGCUGUUUUCUGUGCUGCCCCAGUGAGAAUCACGUAAUGCAUAGAGACGGUACUCACGCAAAUGAUCCCUUCACAACUUCCUAGAAAGCCAGAAACCACUGAAUGCACAUAUUCCUCAAGGGCAACUGAACUGAGACACUGACAUUUCAGGUGAUCUGUGGCAAACAUCAUAAACUCAUGUUUGAGAGCUUAGCUUGCGAUAUUGCUGACAAUGGAUUACAUAAAUACACUACGCCAAAACUGUUUGCAAAUGUCAGAGAGAAGCACUUGAUACAAAACAGGCCCUUCCCUUAAUCUAGAGAGAUUACUUCUGCACAAAGGCCAGUCUACGGGAUACAGGGACUGACCGUGCCUGGGACGCCGGCUGUGCCCCGCUGUGACGCCCAUCGGCAGGACACGGAGGCGUGCAGUGGCUUACGGGAAUCGUUCGGUGCUUUUCUGCAUCAGAUACUUGGAAAAAACCCACCAUUCGCAGGUGUUUGGGAGCUGAAGAGAGAAGACGGGUCUGUGGCCCUGACUAGGAGACACAGGGAACCCGUUAGGUCGUGUGACUCAGACCCGGGCUCCUGAACGCCAAAUCCACUCGAUCGAGCUCUCACUGUGUGCCCAGCACACACUUACUGGUCUGUGAUUUCCUCCAUUCUACCACGUUUAAGGAAGUCUUGGAAUAGAAGUGAUUUUUUAGAUAGUCUGCACUGUUGGCAAAUAUCUUAAUCAAGCUUCCCUUUUAAUAGAAUUGAAGCUGAAAAUGGCAAGUCAAAGACCUCUUGAACACACACCCUAAACUUAAGCCACUGUUGUUUGUACCUGGAGUUAUUGGUUACAAACUGUGCCUCUCAGUUUCAUGACUCUCUAUUUUUCUAAGCAGAGAUUUUAACUUCUCAUGAAUCUCCAGACUGAGUUUUGUCCAGGCCAUGUCACCCAGGCCAGGCUAGUCUAGUUUUACGUGGUAUGUUUUGCCAUGCAGAAUGGUUAAAGUAAGCCAGAAGCCCUUAAGUUCCUCUGAACACAUCAGAGAGUCUGGAGUAGAAAUAACCUCACCCUUUGUCAGAAUAGCGCAGCUUCAAAAACCUCCUAAAGUGCCACAGUUGCAUGGUAUGCAACUUCCAAAUAUAUUAUAAAUAUAAUAUAAAUAUAUUAUAAAUAAGAGAUUAUUUGGUUUUUCAGUUCCAUUAAUCAGUUUCUAUUCAUUGUGAACAUACAUUUAUUUAAAUACUUCCCUCUUCAGUUGUACAUUUCAAAUUCUAAUUUAAAAAAAACCCACCAAAAAAACCCCACUAAAAGCGAUUUGGGCUAUGAGAACUUGUCAAUAAAAAGUACACAAUCCCAGCUACUCAAAGCCCUAACGCUACACUACCUACCUGAAAUCUGCCUUCCGCUGUACGGAGAACGUAAGUUGGAAAUUUCACGGGCCUUCCCAGUACUCUGCCAUUCCAAAAGAGAAAGCAGCUUUUGGAGCGUUGGCACUACCGCUGUGCACAGAGGAAGAACCCAUCGUGAAAAGGGGGCUCCUCCAAGGCAUUGCUUUGAAGAGCAGGAACGGUAACUGGGGGUGAUGGAUCCCAGAGCUCUCGUAUCCAUUGGUGCUUGCACAGAGAUUGCUCUGACUGACCAGAUGGCUGCUUACAAAACGCGUUUAUAGGAAUAGUUCCCAAAACACUUGCUGCUGGUACACUUACUUUCUGUGCGUCCCUUCCCCUACCUAUGAGUUCUCCAAAAUAGGUCUCCUGGACUAGCUGUUACACAAUCUUCAGCCACAUAUGCUGAUAUUUGACUGUGAAUGUCUAAAGCUGGCAAUUUUCUUAAAAUAAUCUCCAUAAAGAGAAACUUAACAAGCAAUUAUAGAUCAGCUAGUUUACGUGCAGCUGUAGAAUAAAUAUUACAAACUGUUUCACAGGAUUUAGUAGGCCAAAAAGUAAGCUUUGAAAGCCAAAAUUUAAUUUCAGGGAAUUCAUGUAGAUAUGGGCAAGGGUGCUCUUGUUUAACUUGUAUUCUUUGACAAUAUUACUGCCCUGGCAAACAAGGGUAAUUAAGUGGCUAUUGAUGCUUUAGGUUUGUAAUUGUCAUGAAGUCUGAUACCAGAUUCUACUAACCAGGAGGUAAUGUAAGUUAGUGGGCAGGAAACCGGCUCAGGAAGGGCGAACUUUGUGAAAAGAACAUUAUUCAGAUCUGACAGAGGUGUCUGCGGGGUGGGCAGGUGACACAGGAAGCAGUGAGGUACCUGAAACAGUCCUCAACAGCCGUGCAAUACGUUGCGCUUACCAGCCACGUUAACAUUACGUACUCAUUCUGGUAACUGUCACUAGAGAGACAAUUCAGUGCGGUCUCACCUGCUGAACAGUUUAAAAAAUUAUACCGAGAAAAAAAUUAUCUUCAUAUCAAAUAAAAACAUUCACUCUGAUUUUUUUGGCCAGUC